rnacentral:rRNA from 1 species
UACGAAGGGUGCUAGCGUUGUUCGGAAUCACUGGGCGUAAAGCGUACGUAGGCGGCUUAGUAAGUCGAUUGUGAAAGCCCCAAGCUCAACUUGGGAAUUGCAACCGAAACUGCUUUGCUUGAAUUUGGUCGGGGAUGGUGGAAUUCCUAGUGUAGGGGUGAAAUCCGUAGAGAUUAGGAGGAAUAUCGGUGGCGAAAGCGACCAUCUAGGCCAACAUUGACGCUAAGGUACGAAAGCGUGGGGAGCAAAC